rnacentral:rRNA from 1 species
UACGGGGGGAGCAAGCGUUGUUCGGAUUUACUGGGCGUAAAGGGCGCGUAGGCGGUAGCACAAGUCAGUUGUGAAAUCUCCGGGCUUAACUCGGAAAGGUCAACUGAUACUGCGCGACUAGAGUGCAGAAGGGGCAACUGGAAUUCUCGGUGUAGCGGUGAAAUGCGUAGAUAUCGAGAGGAACACCUGCGGCGAAGGCGGGUUGCUGGGCUGACACUGACGCUGAGGCGCGAAAGCCAGGGGAGCGAACGGG